GUGAGUGUGCACCUCUCUCUCUCUCUCUCUCUCUCUCUGAGAGAGAGAGAGAGAGAGAGAGAGAGAGAGAGAGAGAGUUUAUCUAUCUA
rnacentral:miRNA from 1 species